rnacentral:rRNA from 1 species
UACGUAGGGGGCAAGCGUUGUCCGGAUUUAUUGGGCGUAAAGAGCGUGUAGGCGGCCUGAAAGGUCAGCUGUGAAAACUCGAGGCUCAACCUCGAGACGUCGGUUGAAACCAUCUGGCUAGAGUCCGGAAGAGGAGUGUGGAAUUCCCGGUGUAGCGGUGAAAUGCGCAGAUAUGUGGAGGAACACCAGUGGCGAAGGCGACUCUCUGGGCUGUAAACGUGACGC